UACGUAGGGGGCAAGCGUUGUCCGGAAUUAUUGGGCGUAAAGCGCGCGCAGGCGGUGGAUUAAGUUGUGGGUAAAAGGCAUUGGCUCAACCAAUGUAAGCCUGCAAAACUGGUCUCACUUGAGUGCAGGAGAGGGGAGUGGAAUUCCCGGUGUAGCGGUGGAAUGCGUAGAUAUCGGGAGGAACACCAGUGGCGAAGGCGACUCUCUGGCCUGUAACUGACGCUGAGGCGCGAAAGCGUGGGGAGCAAACAGG
rnacentral:rRNA from 1 species